AGGAAGUAGUCUGGGGUGCGACGAGUCACAUGCGGCUCACCUCUGCGCGGCGCCGGAUCGAACUGCAAGCUGAAAAGCACAGCUAUUAAUGACACUGCCAGAGCUCCCUUUGCAUUCAGCCUGUGUACUCAAGCACGCAGUAUGUGCUGAAUCAUGGAUCCCACCAGUUCAGAAGGUUAGUUGUCAGUACCUCAUGGGGAACUUCCUGCAAGCGAUCAAGUGCUCUGAUGUGAUCCAGUGUAUCUAUCGAUGGAGACAGGCCACCGUGUAGGCAGAAAAUCUGCAACAGUGAGAUAUAAUCAAUGUAAAUGAGAGAAACUUCAUCUAUCAGUACAAUUGUAAUUGAUCAGUACAAAUAAUUAGGAUAAAAAUCACCAAGAGCUUCCUUUAAAGCUGAGAGCUGAUACAAUACAGUAUUAUCAGCUCCUUUUACAACUAGGAACGUUUAACACCACCAAAUACCAACGUACCUGGCCAUCCACCAAGGCAGUUAGAGGCAGGUAAUCAAAAAGGUCUGUGAAGUAUUUCCAAACGUUUGCAUUUCCGUAUUUUCUUAAACAUUCAUCAUAGAAACCAUAUACUUGUGUGAUUUGUCUGCUUUCGUGGUUCCCUCGGAGAAUUGUGAUGCGUUCACGGUAUCGGACCUAAACAUAACACCUUAGUUUAGAAGCAAUAAAACACAUGUCUUCCCCAAAACCCUCACAAAACCAUCUGCCCCCCCUCACCUCCCAUCACGUGUCAAUAAAGCAGUGAAAACCAAACCCUUCUUAAGAUGAAGAGUGAGUUAUAACCUUUGAGAAAGUAGGGAUAAUUCAUUCAAAUCUUCAGCUGCCCAAUACUUUGGAGAUGAAUUCUAGAUGUUAUUCAUUGUUACUAGUGGACUUCACUACAUCUGGGCAUUAAGAUGCUCUCCCCAAGAGAAUUAUUAAGGAUUGCUACUUAAGCAAGUCAAAAGAAAUACAGCAUUAACUGAACCUUUCAGAAGCAUCUUAAAAAACCAAGACAGCCAACAUUUCAGUUUCUAUACAUAAUGCCAAUGUAAUACAAAUCAUAAGAGAUAUUAAGCACAGUCAGGAUAGUAAAUACAUACAUUAUUAUAUAGAAUCAUACAGCAGAGAAGAAAAGGUACCUUAAGAGCUACAAGCAAUGUGACUGUUUCGACUGAAUAAUAGCCUCUGUCAACAUAGUCCCCCAUAAACAAAUAGUUUGUGUCUGGUGAUUUGCCUCCAAUUCUGAAAAGUUCCAUGAGGUCGUGAAAUUGUCCAUG